rnacentral:rRNA from 1 species
UACAGAGGGUGCAAGCGUUGUUCGGAAUUACUGGGCGUAAAGCGUGCGUAGGCGGUAUUGAGAGUCAUGGGUGAAAUCCCCAAGCUUAACUUGGGAACUGCCUGUGAGACCUCAGUACUAGAGUGUGAGAGAGGAUUGUGGAAUUCCUGGUGUAGCGGUGAAAUGCGUAGAGAUCAGGAGGAACACCGGUGGCGAAGGCGACAAUCUGGCUCAUAACUGACGCUCAGGCACGAAAGCGUGGUAGCAAACAGG